rnacentral:rRNA from 1 species
UGCCAGCCGCCGCGGUAAUACGGAGGGGGUUAGCGUUGUUCGGAAUUACUGGGCGUAAAGCGCACGUAGGCGGAUUAGUAAGUUAGGGGUGAAAUCCCGGGGCUCUACCCCGGAACUGCCUCUAAUACCGCCAGUCUUGAGUUCGGGAGAGGUGUGUGGAAUUCCGAGUGUAGAGGUGAAAUUCGUAGAUAUUCGGAGGAACACCAGAGGCGAAGGCGACACACUGGACCGAUACUGACGCUGAGGUGCGCAAGCGUGGGGAGCAAACAGGAUUAGAUA